AAAAUUUUAUUGCUAUAAUUUUUCUGAAUUUCGGAACGUAUUUAAUAAAUUCUGUUUUAUCUAUGGUAUGGAUAUUUACUUUGCAAUAAUUUUCAUGACAUGAGACUACAUUUUGCUGCAAUUACAAGCGAUUUGAUCUGGUUUUGUUAUAAUAUCGUUUCAAUUUUAUGCGAAUAGGUACUGAGUUUAUAAAAGUAACAUAAUAUUGUCUUGUACUUAUAUAAUUAGUUUUUGUGUAUUUCGGAUUCCGUUUACAUCUAGGUACCUACUAUGUCGGGGUCCUACGAGAAAGCUGGCGUAUCAACGCCACGAAUAUUCAGGCGCCCGUAAAUCGUCAAAACGAGUGAAAAGCGCAUUCAGUUGGAUACAUGUGGACGACAAGAUAGUAAACCUGUAAAUUAUAACUCAAGUUGUGGCCAGCUUCAUUGUAAACAAACUUUAGUUUUCAAGUUCAAGGACAAAUGCGUGUCAGUAACAUGGAUAAAUGCUACUUCAUAUGUUUUAUUUCAGUCAAUGAACCUUUGACUGUUAUAGAAGUUUGUCGAGAUAAUAUAAUGACUUUAUCAGCAAUAUGAUGCCAAAGUUAAUACACUUUUUUAAAGAAUGUAUUCUGCCAGAAAUAGUUUUGAGACAUGUUCAAAAAAUGCGAAAUGUAUACCUAGGUAUGAAAGCAGCUGUGUAGCGGUAGUUUCCAGGCAAUAAUGAGGAAGGAUGAGCGAAAACAACACGACAAAUGUUUUUUUAUUGUACUAUUAUAGUAGUGUGUUUAGAAUCUACAUUAUCAAUGUUUACAGUCAUGUUUUUUUUGAUGUCAGAAAACUGAAAUGGUGUACUCGUCGUAAUGAACAUAAUGUUCAUAAUGUGAUAUGAAUACAUUGACCUAUUUUAAGGUUUCUGAAAAACAAAAAGGAAAGUUGUUGCUUUUUUAUUUCCUUAUGUAGUAUAGUGAUUAUGGAUGCUUAGAUAUUCUCAAACAUUUUUCCGCUUUGAUUGCAAUCUAUUAUUCUGGUUGCCUUGUUUAUGAAUUAUAGUUUUGAAUUAUUAUUUUGAAUGAGAUUAUUUUUUAAUAAUCAGUCACGUAUCAAGCAUUCAUGUCACAUAAAUACUUGUAAUAAUUGCAGGUUAGUAUAUACAUUCUAUUAAAUAAUGUAUAAGAUAAUAAAAUAAAACUGUCUUACAUUGCAUUCUUGACAUUCAUUUUAUUCCCAAACUAUGACCCGCCCCGUUUUCGCACGGGUGCAAAAUUAUCAGUUUCCCUACUAUAAUAUACACGUAUUAUACAUAUAAACCUUCCUCUUGAAUCACUCUAUCGAUUAAAAGAAACAGCAUCAAAAUCCUUAGUGUAGAAAGCAUACAUAUGGAUAUAGGGACAGAGAAAACGACUUUGUUUUAUGCUAUUUAGUACCUAAAUAUAACACUACUUAUACCUUUUAUUUUUAGAACAUAAUAGCAUCAGAUGGUGUUCUUUAGUUCCUAAUCCCCAAGACAUAAUUUCUACAGGUACCAGCCUAUUAACUUUUAAAUGCACGCCAUCUAGUGGAUAAUUUUGAAGAAAGGUUGAUUUUAAAGUAGGCGCUAUGUCUAUGUGUGUAUAAAUGACUGUAAACAGAGUUGGAUAUUAAUAUUUCGCUUUUAUGGCAAAUCGGAUGGGUUUUGAGGCGAUAAUUUGACUAAUUCCGAUAUAGUGGGAUGCCUGAUUUUCGCAUUUCUAUUUCUGUUACUUAAUAUUGUUCCAAUGACACUCAAAACAACAUAAAACUGAAAAUGUUCAAUUCAGCGCCAUCUAUCGGGAAACGAGCCAUGAAGAGCUCGGAACAUUCACCUUAAGG